GUUUCUACUGCACUUAGCUGACAAAACUGGUGGCAUAAUUGUAACAAAUGAUAACUUCAGAGAAUUUGUAACUGAAUCAGUCUCUUGGAGAGAAAUUAUUACAAAAAGACUACUUCAGUAUACAUUUGUGGGCGACAUAUUUAUGGUUCCUGAUGAUCCUUUAGGAAGAAGUGGACCUAGAUUAGAAGAAUUUCUUCGGAAGGAGGUCAUUCUUAGAGACAUGCAGCCGCUGCUUAAUGCCCUGCCCAAUGUGUUUGACCCCAGCUUCAGGGUCCCUGGAACCCAGGCAGCCAGCACUAGCCACCAGCCUCCGCCCCGGAUUCAGGGAGCUCCUUCCAGCCCCUGGCUCUCUCAGCAGUCCCACUUCCCCCUCCUGCCAAACCUUCCCAGUAUGCAACAGAAUAUGCCCAUGCCAGCACAAAGGUCUUCUGCCGAAACCAGCGAGCUGAGGGAGGCCCUGCUGAAGAUCUUCCCUGACUCUGAGCAGAGACUGAAAAUUGACCAGAUCUUGGCGGCCCAUCCGUACAUGAAAGAUCUGAAUGCCCUCUCUGCCAUGGUGUUGGACUAAAGAUUGCAUUGGGAAGCUUGAGCUCAGGGCCCAUGCUCACACUCGAACUGAUGGCUGUCUGCAGUGGGAAGUACCAUAAUGUGAAGAAUCCUCUUUCCAGUGUAAACGUUGUUGUAUUGUACAGAGAAAAGAAAAAAAGAUGUUUUGUGUAUACAAAAAUCUGGGUUUUCAAAGCCAGCUUUUUUCUAUAUAUAAAUUAUGCUGCUAUUACAGAUUUAACAUUUUCUGUAAAAGAAAAGUCUACAUUUUCUGCCUGUUCAGAACUGUUUAAUAGCAGUUACUCUUGAGUGUAUUUACAUUUUUAUGUUUUUUAAACUAUUUUCCUUAAAGCUGAAGAUAUUGACAAAUGGAUAUGGUUAGUCUUUCUAAAUAAAAAAAAAAAAGAGUUGCUUUCUUAAGGAAAGCAGGACCUCUUAAAGUAUAUUUUCUUGAGAUGAAUAUGUCCUGUCCACUAACAGGAAGUGUACCGAAGUGUGCACCCCUCCUGCCUCUGCCCUCCCCUGGAGUUGGGGCUGGUUUGUUCCUGUGAGGUCUUUUGUUUGGGCCAUUUGAGAGUGGACAAGUGGAACCACUAGAUGGCGCUUUGUGCCUAGCUGUUGUUAAUGACGAGGGCAAAGUUAGAUGCAGAAGAUCAGGGUAGAAGUUUUAGAGCUCAUGGAGUCCCAUCCUUCUCGCUGUACCCUACAGAAGGAACUGAGGCCGCGAGUGCUCACUAUCCAGACAUGCCUGCAGGUAGAGCACCAAACAGGGCCAGACUCCCCUCCCAGUGCUGUGGUGUACUCACCAGGCGGGGGCCUCCAUGCAUCCAGUCAGAUUUGACUCCAGAAGUCACGCCUUAGCCUCAGGCUGUGCCACAGAGUGAGUUUAAUGGAGCACCCCUUUGUUGUAUGCCCUACAACUAUAGGAGAUGCUCUGGUGUGCAGUUUGUACGGCUUUGCCAAAAAAGUUUUCUAUUCUCAAGAAUGACCCAAGCCAAUAAAUAGCAUUAGUAGCUUCUGUGGGGGGGUCCCAGAGCCCCUCUAUUUAUUUUCCUGUUUUGUCUUUUUAGUAGUCUCUGAAGCAGCUUUUCCAGUGAGUCCUCAGAACCAAUUCUUAGUAUUGUCUGUUUUCAGUGUUGCUCAAAUUCUGUGUCAGUGAAAUUCUUUUACUGGUAAUUCUUAACAUCUUGACUCUUACCUAGACUUUCAAAGGGCUUUGUAUUUUAUGCCUGUUCUCUCCCCAGGCUGCUCACAGUCUCAUGUCUGCCUUGUGGAUCAUGUCUCUCCCGGCCCCCAGAAUAGCGGCUGAGGACUUGGUGCUUGUUUGUUCUUCAUGGUGCAGGGAUAAGGUGGCACCCCAGAGUGCUCCUGCCAGGCAUAUGUCCUCUUGAUUUCGUUUGAUGCCUGCAUCACUCGGGAUAUGAAUACAGGGCCCUUCAGAUGGCCAGAUUUGUACUUGAAUCAAUCAUGUUUUCUCCCAGAUGCCUUGACGGUGCAUCUGAAUGCAAAGCUGGUUAUCAGGUGUCACUUUGGGAUAUGUUGGCAACCCAGCCAACUGUGUUUCAAUUACAGCCCCCUCUGCCCCAGUUUCACAGCUGGUUGUCUCUCAAGCACAGCAGAGAUGUGAAGACUGGCUGCCUCACAGGGACUCCUUCCCUGGCUCAUGUUCAUUCCAGCAGCCAGUCUAUUGCUUCUCUGAAUCGGAGAACAGACACAGGAGUCUCACCCACAUUGCCAGGGCUGAGCCUUCUGGCCAGCUUGAAGGGGCCACAAGUUUUCUAGGUUCUAGAAGCAUUUUGAACUUGACCUUUGAGUUCUGUAAGUCUCUGUAUUCUUGUUUCUGAGAGAAAUACCUGUCCCUUCCCCUUUCUGUACAUGGGAGGGAAGAAGAGAAAGUGGGAGAAGAAUAUAAAGCAUUAAUUAUUUUGUAAGUUAUAAUAUGAAAGGUAUAACAUGAACCAUACUUCAAAAUCUUUUCUGAAAUCUAUCACAUUUAGUUAAUCUGGGCAUUUAAAACCCCAGUUAUCAAAUCAUUAAGUGCAAUUCAUGACCUGCUCUCCGCUGUUCCCUCUUCCCAGGCUGUGUGGCUGCUAGGUAGAUGGUCAACCUCCAUCCAUAGCUAUUUCCAGGAUGACUUUGGCAGUAAGGCUCCCUUCCCCUGCUUAAGUGCAGUGUGGUUUUGCCUCCUGUGUGGCAUGGCUUUUAUGUGAGGUGGCUAGUGGGGGCAGAGAAGGUCAUCCUUACCCAACAGACAGGGUGCCCAGUUCUCAUAGAGGUUGUCCAGGUCAGAGGACAGGUAGCUAGUGGAGCUCAUCUUUGAGAGUAGAAGAUUUGUUUCAUCUAUCAGGUAGCCUUUGUUUGAGACCCUGGAGGCUGCCAGUCAAGAAAACAGAGGAAUCUCAGCUCCUGGGUGAUGGCACAGCAUCAUCUCAGGCUUGGUUGUGUUGUCAGCUACUCAGGCCUAGUGUCGCUUGUAUAGCGUGAAAGAGGACUCCAGAAUCUACAUGUGGAAAGCCAGGCUCCCAUGAUGCUGUCAGCCUGCUCUCUGCCCUACCAGGUACCCAGCUCAGCCCACCUCCCACACUUCAGAGAUAUCACCUGCUUUUAGGGAUCUUCCACCUUCUGAGCACUCUGCUCAGUGCUGUUUUGUCCUUGCCCAUCUUUCCCACAGUGUUCCUGAGCCCAUCUCUCAUCUCCUAUCUGUAAUUUGUUCAGUGAUGCUGCUCACCUUCAUUUCUUCCUAAGAAUCUUGUCUAUUUGCUGCUGCUAGUCUUUCCCCCAGCUUCCCAUUCUGCAUUUAUCCAUUUGCAAACUUGGCUUCCACCCACUUGCAUGGCAAGUAGUCUAGAAUGUCACUGCACACUACCUGAUUACCAAAUUCAGUGACCUCUUCUGGGUCCUUAAUUUUAGUGUGGGCACUCAGUAACCAUGCUAUUCACCUUAUUCUCUCCAUGUUUCACUUCUAGACCUUCAAUUUUCUUCCUUUAUCCUAAAGGUCAGCCCUUAACACUCUUGCUCAACAGAUUCAUGGUGGCUAUCAUUACAAAUGUAGAUUACUGGGCCCCAUUCCCUGAUGUGUGCAUUUAGUGCUCUAGAGUAAAGUCUGAAGAUCUGUUUCCAUGCUCCCUGGAUGGCCCCUGGGCACAGGGUCCACAGGCCACAGUCAAGAAGCUCUGCCCUCUCCUCAGGAUCACCAUUCUUUCAUAACCCCACCAUUGCUAGACCAGUGGAGUCCUCCCUCCCCAGACCUACAGCCUUCAUCUGUUGUCCCUUGCUCCUUCCCCACCCACCCUCUGUGAGAUUCCCUGCACCUGUCCUCAUCCUUUGCUUGCCACUGCCUACCAGCAACUUUCACAUCCUCCCCAUGACAUUGGUCCACCUUUCAGUUCUCUCCCCUCCCUUCUGUCCUCCACGCUACUCUGGUUUAUCUCCCAGGAGCCUAUUUUUGGUUACUCUCUUCCUCUUAUGCAGUCUUCAGUCAGACUCCAUAGCUGUCAUCUCCUGGCCAUCCUUGAUUGUCCACUUUGUAUCCCCCUGUUCAUGUUCACUCCAGCCACAUAUACCUGUAUGCUCCUGCCUACCUACGCACCCCCUCUCUGCUACAAAUGCCCUUUUCCCAAAUGGCUUCCCUCCUUAGAGGCCCAGCUCGGAGUCCUCUUUGUGCCCUUGCCCAAUGCUUUGACCAGAAGCAGCCCUGUGGUGUUGUGUGGCUCCACCGCACUUUGUGACUUGCUUCUGGCUGGUGUUGCUGAAGCCAAUUGUGUACUGUGUCUUGCCUCGCUUUAGACUGUGAGCUCCUCUCGGGCAGGGCGUCCGUGCUCACUCCGUAUUUCCUGUUGCACCUAGCACAGUGCUUUGCACUUGAUAGGUGCUCAAUAAAUGUCUGCUUAAGUGAACUGGAGGACAGUGCCUUCUUCACUGCGGCAUCUGCAGCAGGUCCUGGAGACCCUUGGAAAUCAAGUUUUCAGGACCCUGCUGUGGUAGACCUGGGGAUGAGGAGGGGGUAUCUGCCUGGUUGUUCUAGUUCCCCUUUUCAGGGCUCCAGCACAUCCCAUCCUGGGCAGACUGGUCCAGACAUGGGCUCCUGACACAGGUGCAGCCAACUAGGUCCUUACUUCAUAGCCAGGACAGAAGCCUGGCCCAAGCCAGAGUCAGUCCUGCAUAUUUUCCCCCGUUUUCUGGCAUGUGAGAAGCUGGCUACCUUCUCAGAUGUCACCAUGUCCACUUUCUCACAUGUUAGCCUUGCUGGAGCCUACAAAUUGUACUUCUGUCCCCAGACCCCAAGUCGACCUUGAGUGAAAUGGCGCUGUCCUUAGCAAAGACUUGCAGAUUGAUGUUUCUGUUUAGAAAGGUCCCAAAGGCUUGUGCAAACAGUGCUGUAGGGGUGGCCCCCCCAGGCAGUAGUGUUCAGAGCCCAGCAGUCUCUGAGUUCCAGGCUCUCAGAAGAGAGCUUUGCCCCACCAUGUGAAGGCUGCUUCCUGCUGCCCCUUCUCCUUGCCAUCUGCUACCUCUCCAGGCUGUGCUUUCUGUUCCCUUUUGUGACAUUCUUCACUUAGUUCCCUAGGUUGGCACACCUGGUUAUUUGGAGUUUGACCUUCCCUUACACGUCAGUUUUCCCAUCUAAAAAGUAAGCAUGAAAUAAUGCCUUCUGCUUCAAGGCUGCCAUGAAGAAUAAGUGUGUUAACAAUAUCCACGAGGCACCUAAACCAAUGUCCAAACCAGCUCAUCAGUGACUCGCUACUAUACAGGCCACUUCACAUCUGCACUGACAAAAGCCUGGAGACAAGUCUCAUGCUGCAGGGUCUGAAUGUGCUCCUCUGUCCUGACCAGCUACCAGGAGUGGACCUGGAUGAAAACAUCUAUGUUAGUGCCUACACCUUUUUUAGAGCCUCGACCUCUGCAGGACGUCCAGCAGUGACCCAGAGGAGUCUUUACUCCUUAUACUGCAGCUUGUCAUCACCAGAGCGAGGGCAGUAGGAGGAGCUGCAGAGAGCUGGGAAUGCUGAGCCUUCCUUCAUCCUGAGUGGGGCUGUUAGGUCCAUUUUGUGGAGGAGGAAACCCAGUGGCCUCCUGGAAAAGAAUGCGCCUGUCUGCCUGCCUGUCUGGCUCCUGGAUCAUUCUAAGAUUUCAGUCACCAAAAAAGGCAGCAGGAAAGAGAAGGCCUCCUGCAGCUGGCCUUUGCUCAUGUGUCCUCCACAGAAACCCCACCCCGCCCCCGUGCCAGCCAGCGCUGCUCUUUGUCUUCUCAUUGUGAUCCAGCUCUGCAGCAGCAGCAUUAGGGCAGAAGUGGCUACCCCACCUUUCAACUGAGGAAGCUGAGUUGGUAAAGCCACGACUUGAACCCGGUGUCCACGUUGCAGCAGUAGCACCCUGCCUUCUGCUGCUUGGCUGGAAACCACCAUUUGUUCAUUGUUGAUGUCAACAAAAGUCUAUCCAUGCCUUCUGGGGGUUUUUUGGGUGUGGGACUGGGAUUUGAACUCAGGCCUUCGUGCUUGCAAGGCAGGCACUCCACCUUCUUUCCCUGGUGGGGGCCAGUGGGGCACUUGCUCUGCUCUUCGGAAAGCCCUUCUAUGGAGACAACUGCUCCAGCUCUUGCUGCCUUUUGGAAUGAGGGCAGAUUCAGUUUCCUGCCAAGCCAGUACCAUUGCUAUAUUGGAAGGGGGUGUUAGGGUGGGGAUGGGGGCCUCCAAUGUGCUGAGCUCCGGGUCUGCCAGCUGCACGUGGCAGCCCCAGGGUGAUACCUGCUGCCUGGGACCAGAAGACGGCAAUAAAUGUCCCACGGCCCCUGAGACAGGCCAUCUCCCCUGCAGCAAGCCAUAGCCAGUUGCACCUGUGGUCUCCACGUGCACCCAUGAGCCAUGAGUAAGUCAGUUCCUGCGACCACAGUGUUCUCAGCCCUCCCUGGGAAAAUGCACCCAGUUCCUUUGGGAAAAAGGCAAGUUGAGGCUGGGGGUGUAGCUUAGCGGUACAGCACAUGCCUUGCACAAGCAAGGGCCAGCACUGCUCACAAGGCUUUUUUUUUAAAAAGUAAGAGCUUUGAAAGACUUGUGUCCAGCUGGCCUGGAUUCCUGUGCAGUGCCUUCUGAGCCAGUGUGCUGGCUCCUGGUCUCCACCCUCAGUGACUGCCACCAUCUGUCCAGAGUGGAGGCUCACGCUUCCUGGCCUAGCCAUGCCCACUGCUCUCUGGAGGGUGGCUGUAGCUCACUGAGUUGGUGUCAAGUCCCUUACCCUGCCACCCACAAGCCGGGUCCUCUCAGGUCAAGGAUACCCUAGUCCUGGCCCCAGCUCUGCUGUGGAUCCCUUGGGGCUCACCCCUUCUCCACCCAGAGUGUGAGACACACGUGAGAGUCUGCACACUGGGCUGGCUGGACCAGUGGCUGCGGGCCUCAGGUGCAGGCACUGGGAUUCAGGAGAGUUAAGUUCCCAGGCCAAGCAUGGGGCAUCAGCCUUGGACUGGGCUCACGCCUCCUAGGUUCUGGCAGUGUCUCACACAGGGCAGGGAGCCCACCUCUGUAAGUCCCUCCUUCCACCUUCCUGGCCACCUGUCCUGGUGCUCCUGUCAGGAAGCAUGGACAGGGCAGGAGGCCACAGCUGUAUCCUGCCAUAGAUUUUUCUGGGGAGACACUUUCAGUUGCAAGCACAGACACCCUCUAGACCUGGCUGGAGGUAGAGCAGUGGAUCCACAGUGGCCAUUCUAGAGCCCAGCGGCAGCUCCUGCUCUCUUCUUCUUCGGCCAGCAUUCUGCUGUAGACAUCCCUGCCCUGCCAGUAGGAUCCUACCUCAGAAUGGGGCAGGGACUGACUUCUGAGAACUUCUGCGGCACUAACCUGUGAUGGUCUGAGACAUCUUCUCACCCGCGACAGAGGAGGGCACGUGGAGGCUUCCAACCUUAGAGAAUGGUAUCUGCUCUGUGGCCCAGCUUUCCCAUUCCGAGGUAUUUACCUAAGAGAAUAAAAGCACAUCCCCGCUAAAGACUUGAUGUGAACAUUUAUGGUAGCCAUCUUCCUAACAGGCAAAGCUGCCCAAGUAUCCAAUGGGUUGGUGAGGAGACAAGCCAACCGUGGCUCCCACACCACGGAAUAAUACUCAGCAGGUGCGCAGACAAGCGUACAAAGUCUGUUCACAGCAUACAGACAGGCACAGCCCGAAGGGCCUCUGGGGCAUUGUUGGAAGUGUAGAAAAGUCAGACACGGGGCUGGUGUGUAGCUCAGUGAAGAGCACUUGCCUAGCAUGCCUGAGGGACUGGAUUGAAUCCCCAGCACCACUCUCUCUCUCACAUACAAAGAGCCAGCUACAAAGAGUACUCAUACACUGUGUGAUUCCAUCCAUACGAAGUUACAGAACAGGCUAAACUCCUCCAUGGGAGUAGCCAUCAGAAAAUGGUGCAGAAGGGAGGAACAUGAAAGAACUUUUUGGAAUGAUGGAAAUAUUCCUUAUCUUAUUUUGAGUAGUAGUUACGUGGGUGUAGACAAUUCAAAACACUGAACAGUUAGGAUCUGUGUGUUUUAAUGUAUGUUAAUCAUAUUUUAGUUUUAAAACUAAUGAAAACUAAAAGAGAAGCCAGAGCACUCAGGGCUGUGAGGCAAGGCUGUGUCCUGGGUUUCCAGGCGGAGCUGUUCAAGCUCUAGGAAGCUUGUUUAUCUUCUUAGAAGGAAGCAGUUUCCAGCCAGGGACAUGAGGUUCUACUUGGCCCUUUUCACAUACACAUUUUCAAGCAAUGUCCUUCCUCUGAUAGCCAGGCCUGGCUUCUCAGAGGCCUGGCAUUCUGAACAGGGAGGAAUGGUGGGAGUAAGAGCAUCCUGCCCCACACGGCGGCGGAAGGAGCCCAAUACAGGAACCAUACAAUCCAUACCUCAGUGGCCAGGCCAGCCAUCAUGAGUGGAGAAAAGGCCUGAGCACAGAGGUCCAUGAUCCCCAGAGGCAGGGAUGGGGAGCACAUGGCCCAUCAGCAGGAUAGGAAGGCAAUUAGUUGUCCUAUACAACUGUAGGCCUGGUUGCCCUGUCUUCACAAUUUUCAAGAAAAUCUAGAAAUCUGGAGUUUAAAAAUGUAAACUCAAUUGGGAGGUAGAGUUUGGAAGAAUCAGGAAUCGAGUCCAGUUGGAGCAAAAACAUCGUGAGACCCCAUCUCAACCAAUAAGCUGGGUAUGGUGGUACAUGACUGUGGCCCCAGAGGUGUGGGAGGUGUAAGUAGAAGGAUCAGGGUCCAGGCUGGCCAGGGCAAAAAUGCAAAACCCUACUCAAAAAGUAGCAAAAACAACUAACUCUGGUGGCUCACUUCUAUAUUAAUCCUAGCUACUUGAGAGACUGAGAUUGGGAGGAUUAAGGUUCAAAGCCAGCCUGGGCAAAUAGUUUGUG